rnacentral:tRNA from 1 species
GGCGAGGUAGCCAAGCGGUCUAAGGCGCCAGACUAAGGUCAUCUGGUUCUUCGGAGCGUGGGUUCGAAUCCCACCCUCGUCA